rnacentral:rRNA from 1 species
UUUUAUGGAGUGGAGAUGCCAAACGGGUUGAGUUAACGCGUAGACAACCUGCCCCAAAGGAUGGGGACAACAAUUCCAAAAGGAUUGCUAAUACGGAAUUUGUAUUUCUUCCGCAGGAAGAAGAUAUUAAAGAUGGCCUCUACUUGUAAGCUUUCGCUUUGCGAUGGGUCUGCGUUUGAUUAGCUAGUUGUGGGGGCAACGGCCUACCAAGGCGACGAUCAGUAGCCGGUCUGAGAGGAUGAACGGCCACAUUGGAACUGAGACACGGUCCAGACUCCUUCGGGAGGCAGCAGUGGGGAAUCUUUCCGCAAUGGGCGAAAGCCUGACGGAGCAACGCCGCGUGAGUGAAGAAGGUCUUCGGAUCGUAAAGCUCUGUUGUCGGGGACGAAUGUUGAGACCUAGAACAUAGGUUUCAAAUGACGGUACCUGACGAGGAAGCCACGGCUAACUACGUGCCAGCAGCCGCGGUAAUACGUAGGUGGCGAGCGUUGUCCGGAAUUAUUGGGCGUAAAGGGAGCGCAGGCGGGAAAGUAAGUCUAUCUUAAAAGUGCGGGGCUCAACCCCGUGAGGGGAUAGAAACUAUUUUUCUUGAGUGCAGGAGAGGAAAGCGGAAUUCCUAGUGUAGCGGUGAAAUGCGUAGAUAUUAGGAGGAACACCAGUGGCGAAGGCGGCUUUCUGGACUGCAACUGACGCUGAGGCUCGAAAGCCAGGGGAGCGAACGGGAUUAGAUACCCCGGUAGUCCUGGCCGUAAACGAUGAAUGCUAGAUGUAGGAGGUAUCGACCCCUCCUGUGCCGGAGUUAACGCAAUAAGCAUCCGCCCUGGG